rnacentral:rRNA from 1 species
CCUACGGGGGGCUGCAGUGAGGAAUAUUGGUCAAUGGGCUUACGCCUGAACCAGCCAAGUCGCGUGAGGGAAGACUGCCCUAUGGUUUGUAAACCUCUUUUGUCAGGGAGCAACGCCGGCUACGUGUAGCCGGACUGAGAGUACCUGAAGAAAAAGCAUCGGCUAACUCCGUGCCAGCAGCCGCGGUAAUACGGAGGAUGCGAGCGUUAUCCGGAUUUAUUGGGUUUAAAGGGUGCGUAGGCGGGAUGCCAAGUCAGCGGUAAAAUCCCCGCGCUCAACGUGGGAACUGCCUUUGAAAGUGGCAAACUGGAGUGUGUGAGAGGAUAGUGGAAUUCCAGGUGUAGGAGUGAAAUGCGUAGAUAUCGGGAGGAACAUCAGUGGCGAAGGCGACUAUCUGGCACAUAACUGACGCUGAGGAGCGAAAGCGUGGGUAGCAAACAGGAUUAGAUACCCCUGUAGUC